rnacentral:lncRNA from 1 species
ACUAUCUUGAUCAAGAUAAUGUGAAGCAAAAUCAAUUCAUGGUACCCAACAAAAGCUUCAACUCCAAAGCUUCAUCUACAAAGCUUCAACUCCAAAGCUUUACCUACAAAAGCUUCACCCACAAUAGCUUCACCUACAAAAGCUUCACCCAUAAAAGCUUCACCAACAAAAACUUCACCCACCACAAAAGCUUCACCCACCUACAAAAGCUUCACCCACAAAAGCUUCACCCACCUACAAAAGCUUCAUCCACAAUAGCUUCACCUACAAAAGCUAGCUUCACCCACCA